ACUUAUCAUCAAUACAGGCUCACUCCUUCAAUUAUUCUCAACUGGAAACAAAUGGAGAUUACCUUUUUUAAUAUUUUCCAGUCAAGCGUUUGUGAGCCAUUGAAACAAAACCAUGACUCAAAAUAAUUGCCAAGCAAAACGUGCAAUGGAGUUAUAUGGCAUGCCACGGGAGAAUCUAUUGCCUAAAGUAAAAGAUCUUUCAACUGAUGAGUUGGAAAUACAUGGUAUUAAUAUAAAAGGAUUUCUAUUCGAUCUUGAAAAUUGUCGUUCCAGCAAACCGUAUUAUACGGCUAACAGUACUUUUGAAUCUAUCGAAUUUAUACCUUGGGCACUCUGAAGAGACCUCAGUAUAAUAGUUAACAUGCGUCAUGAGGAGUGAAUGUGGAAUAGUAUGUUUAACCUGUAUGGUUAGGUAUGCGUUUAGAUUGUACCGUUUGCGGAGAAGAGACGUUUUUUUUUUGCUGGAGGUAGUUGUGGUGGUGAUGGUAGAGGUGGCCGAGCUGGUGAUAGACGUCGAUUAAAUGUCCUGCGGAAUGUGUCUAAGUUUUUUACGCUGGCCGUCAUUUCUUGAUUUCUUCCGAAAUUUUAGAUAUACAUAGGUCAGACGAUGGAUUCUUUUCCGCUCAAGAGGAUAAAAAUUACUUAGUUAAAACAUCAAGUAGAACUCAAAUAACGACGCUUACUAAAGUACAAACACCUUUGUCCCAUUGUAAUGGUGACAUUGAAGAAAUCCAACAAAUCUUAAUUACGGAUUUCAAAACCCUGCUCCCAAUAAUCUGUGCGAAGCGCGAGAUUUACAAAACCGUGGAUAUUUAGUGUUAUACGUUUGCAAAUGGCAGGAUCAGCAAAACAAUUUGUUUACAUGUUUUUCAAGAUUUUUAUGAACAUCUCUUACACAGCUACGACAUAAAUGAAUGAAUGAGGUCCUAGAGACCGCACAGUGGAAGACAUCACAAGAUGUUCAAAAUUAUGCGAAAAUCGAACGCCAGGUCUCUAAAAAUUGAAUAAAGUUAGUCAGGAGAC